UCGUGUGUCAGCUUUCCCAGUUCAAACCGGUACAGACCAAAUAAGGAAACGUCUUCCUGCCUUCUGAGCAAAGAAGUAUCCUGUGUGUAGUUUAUCAGUUCAGCUAUAAUUUAUGAUCAUCCCAGCAAAAUACACUCCUAGACAUAGAAUACAGAGUUCUUUCAUCAGUGAAUUCUGAAACGAACCACCUAGCCUUUAACGAGCCUUUUCCAGGAGAUAAAGAAAAAGGGAGGAUGGGAGUAAGGAAGUGGUCUCAUCUCUGUGGUGUUUUCGACCUUCAGGUACCAGCUUGUGAGUCCUACACAUUAAUUCUUGGGUCACAGAGAAAGAGAAAAACAACUAGUAGAUCGGCCUUAUUGAGUAACAGUUUUCCUGUAUAAAACAAUAUCCUGUAAAUGCUUACCGUGGUAUCAAAAUAUCAUAACAGUUCCCCUCUUUUAUUAUUUUUUAAAAAUAAUAACUCAAAUAGAAAGGAAAAAUCACAAAUGUAAUAACAUAAUAUAAAAAGCAAAUCAUAAAAUGUAAUAGUUCACAACCUAAUGUUCAAUAUACACAUCAGGAACAUCAUUGAUGACAUCUGACACAUAAUCUGGGUCAAUUUGUGCCAAUUGCAAAUACAUUGAAGUAGCUGUACUAGUAGCUAUACGGGUUAUCAUUGAACGUACACAGGGUACCACACAACAGACAAUAAUCAUCAAAAACAUGCUGCAACGGUUACAAAGGCUACAAUUAGUUCCUUCCAUCUUCCAAACGUGUCCUGUAGCCACUUAUGUAGCCACUGACCGUGACCUGUAUUGGCAAUUAGUUCUAUCUGCAAUGCUUCAAGUCUAUUCAUAGCUUGUGUGAAUGAACCGUUAGGAGCAGUAUUAUUGGGAAUGAAAGUACAGCAUACAUCAACGGUUACUAGACCACAGGUACCGGUCCAAUUAACAGGUAAAGCUAAUCUAAGAGUAUUAUUGCACAACCAAUAAGCACGUGGGAUUGGUCUAGUUAGGCGCGUGACCAUGUGUGAUUUAACUAACUCCCCCCAGUCAGUGUCAUUUAAUACACCGUCUGGGGGAACAAUGAUCGAUUCUCUGCUCGAACUUGAACUGUGUGUGUGUUCCUCCAGAUAUGAUACAACUUCAGCCACAGAGACAGCUAGCCAUGUCUCAUUACAGCGUGCACCUGGGGAGUCAGAGAAGAAUAUAUAGUUAUCCUUUGUAUAAUCUAUGUGUGUGUCUAAGUAGGCAGUCGAGAGGGCUCAGAGUCAACUGUAAAGCGUUUUUAAAGAGAGCAUUAUUUCCGCUGAUUUUCUCUAGUCCCUCAGUGAGGGGGAAACCGGAUAUGGGGUAUCCUACUAUAACCUGUUCUGGAUUAGCCUUUGAACAGACAUAACAGUUACUGUUUCCUAAAUCACGAGCGGCUGUUCUGGCAUUUUCAUACCAGGCGUUAGCUCCUGUUCUAGAGGGUGCAUAAAAUGGUUUAUUAGUGGCGUCUAUGUUGCUAUUUACUGAUUUUAGGGAGCGUGAGGAGUGCAUUAAGUAGGUGUCUUGCAAAAUGGAGCAUGAGGUAUAGUCAGCAAAAUAUGACCUGCAGAAAUAUGAACAUGGUUGCAGUUUACAAUACAAAAUAGCAAAGAGAAAUCCUAAGGUUAAUGCGAUAGAUAUGAUAAAUAACCUAAAUAUAUAAGAAAGUAUAUAAGAAAAACAGUUCUUCAGUUGUCUCCUGGCCUGGUCCCAGGUUCGAGAGACACAGAAUAAGCGUCGUAUGAUGACAAUGGGCAUUUCAUUUUCUCCAUUAUCAGGAUGAAAUGAGUCUGGCUUUAUCAGGUUAGACAUCAUGUGGUACUUUUGGCUUUCUGUUCCUGCUGGAUGUUUGAGUACCUUGUUGUUGUUCUUUCAGACGUUGUGUCUUAAUCAGUGAUUGUGUGUGUGUGUAAAUUGGAUCCUGGCGCUGGCUCGCCGGAGAUGUCAUCUACCCGUGUGUUUAUUUGCUCUAGUUCCGGGCGCUGGCUCGCCGGAGAUGUCGUCUGCUUGAUCCGACGCCUGAGAUGGUCCGAUUGGGCUGGUCUUAACCCUGCUGGCAUGAAUCCACUGAGGUUGUCCGUCUGUGAGGAUGCUGGUUCUUCGUCACUGCCAGUAAAGCCUGGGGGCUGGAACACGCGGCCUCCCAGAGUGUCCUUGGUUUUAGUGGCUUCUCCAACAUGCAUCUCCUUGUCUCCACUGGUGGAACUGUGGAGGGGAAAGGCUGAGAGAGACAAACUUUCUGAUAGUUAUUAUUCAGUUUUUCUACCAGGUUGUGAACAUCAGUGGACAAUGCAAUAUACAUCACCUUCUACUAGCGGUGCCCCUCUGGAAGCUGACCAUGGUGUUGGAAAUAGUCUUAUUUCAAAUGGAAAUAAUUUGGUUACUUCAGAUUGAGUCAUUCUAAUCUCACACAGGACUUGAGUAAGUAAUUUGACCCAGGUCAUUAAAGUUUUAGCACAUUUUUUAAUUACUUCUCAUGUGAAUGAAGGUCCUCUAUCACUGUUAAUUUGGUGAGGUAUUCCGAAUCUGGGUAUUAUUUCAUUGCUCAACUUUUGACAGACUACUUCUGCAGUUUCUUUUGAGGUUGGAUAAGCUUCUACUCAUUUACUAAAUUGAUCCACUAUUACCAGUAAGUACUUGAUGCUUCCUUGUGCUGGCAUAUGUAUAAAAUCAAUUUGUAAUGUAUGAAAUGGAAAAUCUGGUUGUGGUAAAUGCUGAUGUUUUGCUUUUGAUUUUCCUACAUUAGUUCGCGCACAUGUUAGGCAGGUUGCUAAUAUGCUUUUUACUGCAUGUGAUGUUUUCUCAAUUACAAAUCUUAAUUUUAUUGCCCCUAUUACCCCUCUUUGUCCGACAUGACUCACACAGUGAAAAUGUCGGACAAGGACUGGCAGCAGGGAAGAUGGGAGGGCAAUCAAACCCUUAAGAUUUUGUAUAAGCCAUCUCUGUCAUCUAAGGUACAGUCAUUAUUCUCCCAAUAGGUGUAAUCACAUGCAGAGGCUUGCUCUUGUAUGAAUUUUAAAUCAACAUUUGUGUCUAAAUAGUCUGGGAGUGUAACAAGUGGCAGCUGUAGGGGCACAGAUAAUACUUCCUGCGGCGGUGGGAGCUGUGAUGCAGCUGCAGCCUUGGCUGUCACGUCUGCUAAGGCAUUACCUGUUGCUUCGUCUGUGUCAGCUGUACUGUGUCCUUUCGUUUUUACAACUGCAAUGGCCGAUGGCAGCUGUAUAGCCUGAAAAAGUCUUUGAACAAAAUCAGAAUUUAGCAAUUUAUUUUCCAUCAGCAGAUCUAAAUCCUCUCUGUCUCCACAAUGUGCCAAAGUCAUGCACAACGCCAAAUGCAUAGCGGCUGUCUGUGUAAAUCGUCACAUGCUUAUCCAAAUGUAGCUCACAGGCGCGUAUUAAAGCCAUGAGCUCUGCUUUUUGUGCUGAGUGAAAUGGUAAUGAGUGAGCCUCUAGUAUGAUGUCAGGCACUGUUACCACUGAAUAGCCACAAAGAAAUGAGUUGUCAUUCGGCCUUGAACAGGACCCGUCCACAUAAACCGUGGCUGAGUCUGGGAUAGGUGUCUGCUCUAAGUCUGGACGUUGUGCUGUGGAUUCCUGUAUACGUGUCAUGCAGUCAUGAUCAUCAAGCCUGUCUGAGCCAUCCUGUCGGUCAGAAGAACACAGCAUAGGAUCAAUAAAUGUGCUGGCGAAUCAGGUGUGCUGCUCGCUUUUAUAGUGAGAUUUGCAUAUGUUGUUUAGUUAUGUUUGCUACAAUGGUCGUGACCUGGUGAUUGGUGUGUAGAAUAGUGUCAUGUGAGAGUGUGAGCUUCCCGCAGUCCCUUAUCAUGAUAGAGCAAGCUGCUACUGCCCUCAGGCAGGCUGGCAUUCCUGAACAAUUCAGGCAGCACCUUUGAGUGGCGGAGGUCAGCACUCCCUGUAAUGCAUUGAAAGAGGCAGUCAUUUCUGUGGACCACAGUAUUCGAGGAGGCUUGUCUUUUUUACAACAGUCACGCAGAAUGUGGUCAUGAAAAGAACAGUCUGGUAUCCACUGUCUGCAAUAGUUCACCAUGCUCAGGAAGGACAACAUUUCCUUCUGUGUAGUGGGACGAGGGACAGAGGUCACAGCUUUGACCCUGUCUGCAGUCAUGGAACGUUUUCCGUGAGACAGUGUGAAUCCCAAAUAUUGAACAGAAGUCUGACAGUACUGCAUUUUCUUUGCAUAUGCUUUGUGGCCAGUCUUUUGGAGGUGCUGGAGAAGCAUGUGUGUAGCAGUUUGACAUAGUUUUUCACUUUCAGCACAGAGGAGGAGGUCAUCCACAUGUGGAUCAGGGUGCAGCCCUGGAGGAGUGAAGCACCAUUGAGAAAGCAGCAGAGCUGUCUAUCAUGCCUUGGGGCAAACGAGUCCAAGUGUACUGCUGAUUUCUAUGUGUGAAUGCAAAUAACGGCUGUGUGUCACAGGUACUGAGAAAAAGGAGCGGAGCAUAAAUCCACCACGGUAAAAUGUGUAUGCAAUGCAUGUCAAUAUGCUGUGAACAUCUGAAACGAGAGGUGGCAGAGGAAUGUUGACUGCAUUAAUUUGCCUUAAGUCUUGUAUGAAACGCCAUACGCCAGGUUUGUUAGGCUUUGGCACAGGAUUGACAGGAGUGUGGGCUUUAUUACUCCUGUAGUCAAUAAAUCUCCUAUGAUGACAUCUAGAGCUGCGGCUUUUUCCGUGGAAAGGGGAUGUUGCUUGACAUAUACUAGCUUGAUGUGUUUUAAUAGGUGUACGUGAUAAAGUGUACAGUCAAUAAAUCCUAUAUCAUUCUCACUUUUUGACCACAAUGUCAUAUUCUGGUAUUCAGCUGGCAACGUAAGUGCAGAAAUAGUACAGUCGAUAGGGUAGGUUAGAUCUAUGUGACGACAUAUUUCGUAACCUAUGUCUGAGUUAUGUAACAAAAUCACUGUUUGACCUUCACUUGUGUGAGCAGUUAUCAUGUUGUUGAACAGUGUGAGAGAAACAAAAGUGUGGCUCCCAGUCAUGGGAUUACCUGUUAGUGGCGUCUGUACACGUUUUUUUUUUUUUUGGCACAGUGUGUGACAUAGAGUACCGGACAAAAAGGAUGUUGAGUUCAUUCUCUGCUGAGGGUCCAGCUGACACAGAGGAUGUUCCUUCUCCAUCAUGUCGGUACAUAGGGCAGAGAAAACAUAAGCUGUUAUCAGUGUCAGCAAACAUUUCACCCUUUAUGUUAAAUUAAAUACACAAAUUCAUUUUUGCUCUGGGUGUCUGCGGCUGCUGGAAAACUGAGCUAAAUUUGCACCUCUAGCUUGUCCAACAGUGCAUAAAGCGUUUUAUGAAUACUAGGAUAGAUUCAUCAGGCUUCUGUUUACACAUAGUUACUGCAUUUAAGUCACUUUUGUCUCUGGACAUUGUUAGCAGGAAUUUCUUUAGAUUCUUAAAGAAAUUGGUGAUUUUGUCAUUAUUUACCCACAAAAACUCUGCAGUUGUGGAUGCUUUAUCAUGCUUUGGGUCUGUUUGUUUACUACCGCGAGUGUUGGCGUGAGGACCUUUGUCAUUCCGGCUUUGUUUUUCCUUUUUUCCUUUUAGAUAAGUCUUUAUUAAAGUUCGGGUAACAGGUAUUUCUUUAGCUACCUCUAAACCUCUAGCUACGAUAUCGUGGUGUUUCAUGUGGGUGUCUAUUGUGGACACUGCCUGAUGCAAAAGUUUUUUUUUUCAUAGUCGUCUAAAUUGUUUUUCAUAAGUUCCUCACAUUCUUCUUUCAAAAGUUUUUCUCUCUUUCUAUGUUCUGCUAAUUCUUCCUUGCGGCGUAUAUAUUGUUUUUCCUGAUCCUGUUUAAAGAGAUGGCUAAGAUCCGUUGCAUGUGAUUCAGGUUUUUCGUCGCUUUCUUUUGAGCUGGUUGGAUCAGAAUGCUGACAUUGUUUACGUGCAGCUGCUACAGCGACUAUUAAUUCGGUCUCAUCUUAAGGGUGUGGGGCUGUAGGCUGAACAUGCAAGACUAGCUUUUCCUGCGGUAGGUUUAUUUUCUUUGCUAGAGCCUGCACUAGUUUUAUUUGAUGUUAAAGCAUCUACACCUGGUUCCGGUCCCUUUUUCCAUAGCGGUAACAUUUGAUGCAUCACGUCGCGGCAUUCUAUCAUAUAUUUUCUACAGGACUUUUUAAGCAGACUACUUUUCUUAUCACAAAUGAUAUUCAACAUUUCUACUGACCUGUUUUCUGGCGAUAAUCGUUCGGGAUAAGGCUCCGAAAAGAAAUUAGAAUGCAUUGAACUUCUUAAGUUGUAAACAAAGUCAGUCACAUAAGCACUCCCGCAUGUUCUGGAUACGUGAUCAUGGACGUCUUCACCGAUUCGCGGACGUAGGUUACACGUAACCGGAAAUGGGAGUUAUACUGAGCCGUUAUUUGAGACUUUAUUUUGUAUUUUAUUAAUUUUUGGUUUUACAGGUACUUUAGAUUUUUUAUCGGACCUGUCUGUGGUCUUUGAAUAAUUCUGACCCAUGUUCAGUGAUUUCCAGAGGGGUUUACACGCUAGGAGGAUUUAGGUUAGUAUUUUCGCUGCGGCACAGCUGAGGUCACUUUAAAUUUAUUGCUAGCAAUUUUUUGUUUGUGUGAGCAACUCUCACUUAGCGAGCAACUUCUCGCUUAACGAGCAACUUCUCGUAAAACAACAGGCAACUUCCUGUGUCUUUCUGCUUUUAAUUUACUGCUUUUAACCCUUGUAUGGUAAUCGGGUCUGUGAGACCCGUUCAACUUCUCCCUGUGUCACUCUUUGGUGAGCAACUUCUCACUUAACGAGAAGUAUUUAAGACAACAGGCAACUUCCUGUGUCACUCUUUCUGAGUGAGCAACUUAAACAAAAUUAAAAUAUUCAAGACAACAGGCAACUUCCUGUGUCCACCAACACCACACAAGGGUUAAUUUACUUUAUUCGGGGACUGAGGAAGUCAGUCAGUGUAUCUCUCUGGAUCACUAAGUGAAACUUCGUCAGCAUAUCCCGUUUUUUUUAUGGAUCGAUCACUGAGAGAGGUAUAAUAGGUCUUUAUAUAAAUAUGAAAGACGCAUAUUUACCUUCUGUCAGCAUCCCACUUCUGACACCAAAAUUGAAGGAAAUUGCCUUCCCGGGUUUCCUCCGUGGCGUGAGCGAUAAGCAGAGUUCUGUCCUUUCCUUCUAAGAUUCCUAAUUAUUUAAAGUAACACUCAGGUAUGCCAUUCAGCGUGUUAGUACGAGCUCGGGAGCAGCUUGGGAGAACAAGAAAACAGAGACUGCUUUAGGUUGCCUUCCCAAUCGACUCAAAGGUUUAUUUGAUACACAGCAGUUUAUAUAGAUGAAAAAAGGUUCGUGUGUCAGCUUUCCCAGUUCAAACCGGUACAGACCAAAUAAGGAAACGUCUUCCUGCCUUCUGAGCAAAGAAGUAUCCUGUGUGUAGUUUAUCAGUUCAGCUAUAAUUUAUGAUCAUCCCAGCAAAAUACACUCCUAGACAUAGAAUACAGAGUUCUUUCAUCAGUGAAUUCUGAAACAAACCACCUAGCCUUUAACGAGCCUUUUCCAGGAGAUAAAGAAAAAGGGAGGAUGGGAGUAAGGAAGUGGUCUCAUCUCUGUGGUGUUUUCGACCUUGAGGUACCAGCCUGUAAGUCCUACACAUUAAUUCUUGGGUCACAGAGAAAGAGAAAAACAACUAGUAGAUCGGCCUUAUUGAGUAACAGUUUUCCUGUAUAAAACAAUAUCCUGUAAAUGCUUACCGUGGUAUCAAAAUAUCAUAACAGU
ensembl:lncRNA